rnacentral:rRNA from 1 species
CAGGAUGAACGCUGGCGGCGUGCUUAACACAUGCAAGUCGAACGGAAGUUAACGCUGACGAGACUUCGGUCAAAUCUUGUUAAACUUAGUGGCGGACGGGUGAGUAACGCGUGGGUAACCUGCCGUAUGCAGGGGGACAACAGUUGGAAACGACUGCUAAUACCGCAUAAGCGCACGGUUUUGCAUGAAACAGUGUGAAAAGAUUUAUCGGCAUACGAUGGACCCGCGUUUGAUUAGCUAGUUGGUGAGGUAACGGCCCACCAAGGCUACGAUCAAUAGCCGGCCUGAGAGGGCAAUCGGCCACAUUGGGACUGAGACACGGCCCAAACUCCUACGGGAGGCAGCAGUGGGGAAUAUUGCACAAUGGGGGAAACCCUGAUGCAGCCGACGCCGCGUGAGUGAAGAAGUAUUUCGGCAUGUAAAGCUCUAUCAGCAGGGAAGAUGAUGACGGUACCUGACUAAGAAGCCCCGGCUAACUACGUGCCAGCCGCGGC